rnacentral:lncRNA from 12 species
CCGCAAGUUACUUGUACCAUGUGGAAGCAUGUGUAACCUUGGGCAGUACAAGAAGAGCUUCCUCCCUGCAUCUCUGAGAAAGCAUCUCCCUGCCUGUUUGGCCAUCCAGACUGUCUGCCCACUGCAGUGCUUUCAAGUAUAAUUUCUGCUGUGAAGCCUGCAAGAAGAAUAAAUUCAGAUAUCCGUAAUACAAGGAGAAGGUGGGAAUACCUGUAAAGAGGAACAGUCAUUAUACCUGGC